rnacentral:rRNA from 1 species
UACGUAGGGAGCGAGCGUUGUCCGGAAUCAUUGGGCGUAAAGCGCGUGUAGGCGGUCCGGUAAGUCCGCUGUGAAAGUCGGGGCUCAACCUUUGAACGCCGAUGGAUACUGCCGGGCUAGAGUCCGGAAGAGGCGAGUGGAAUUCCUGGUGUAGCGGUGGAAUGCGUAGAGAUCAGGAAGAACAUCGGUGGCGAAGGCGGGUCUCUGGACAGUUCCUGACGCUGAGGCACGAAGGUCAGGGGGAGCAAACGGG